CGAACUUUGUGUAAUAUAUAUAUUAAUUUGGUAAUACGCCACAUUUUGGCGGCCAUGAAUUUUAGACUUCUGCAAAGGUUAUUUAUGAGGAAAUAACAAAUUAAUAGUUAGUCAGAUUUAUUUUUGGAGAGGGGGAAAACUAGUACUUUUUUAAUUAUCCUCUGCAUGGGAAAUCAAGGGCUGAUUGAGUUUGGAGUCUAGUUCAGGCCUCCAUUUUAAUAUACCAGCUUAGACAUCAGGCCUCAAUUUGGAAUAUAUUAUUACAGUUUUUUUGUGUGUUUCAAAUAUCUGAGUUUGUUGUGUUUUGACUAUCGUAGUUCAGGCCUAGCAGUUUUUUUUUUCAGGCCUUCAUUUUUUGAAUACACUACCAGCAUAG